rnacentral:rRNA from 1 species
AUGGCUCGAGGAGACGGCGUCGCCGCCGGAGUCGAUGUCCAUGUCGGCUGCGGUGCUCGGCUCGGCGCGGUCCGCGGGGGCCGUCCUCCCGCCGGCCAGCCGCUCCGCCACUCUCAUUGCGCCGGCGAGGGCGAGCAGGCGCUUGGCGGAGCCGACGACGACCGCCCCCGCCGGCGCGCGGAGGAGGGCGUCCUCGGCCGCGCCCGCGCCCGCGCGGGGCAGGGCCUCGACCCUGGCGUAGAGGUUGCCGGCGCUGUCCAUCAGGCACUCCUUCCCGAGCAGGCUGACCGGCAGGGCGAGGAAGGCCGCGGCGUCCUCGGCCGAAUCCUGGAGGGGCGUCGGCGCGUCGGCGCCGACGAGGAGCCUCACGCCGAGCGGCGCCGUCAUCUGGAGCUCGGCGGGGCGGUUCCCCCUGAUCCGAUCGAUAGCUCGGCCAGCUUACCGAGGAAGGAAACCGUCUUUGGUUAG